rnacentral:rRNA from 1 species
GACGAAGGAUGCAAGCGUUAUCCGGAUUCAUUGGGCUUAAAGGGAGCGUAGGUGGCCUUAUAAGUCAGUGGUGAAAUCUCUCGGCUUAACUGAGAAAUUGCCAUUGAUACUGUAGGGCUUGAGUACAGAUGCCGUUGGCGGAAUAUGACAUGUAGUGGUGAAAUACAUAGAGAUGUCAUAGAACACCGAUUGCGAAGGCAGCUGACGAAACUGUAACUGACACUGAGGCUCGAAAGUGUGGGGAUCAAACAGG